rnacentral:rRNA from 1 species
UGCGGUAGACGCGAAACCAAGUGAUCUACCCUUGGCCAGGAUGAAGUCUGGGUAACACCAGAUGGAGGUCCGCACCAAUAAGCGUUGAAAAGCUUCUGGAUGAGCUGAGGGUAGGGGUGAAAGGCUAAUCAAACUUGGAGAUAGCUCGUACUCCCCGAAAUGCAUUUAGGUGCAGCCUCGAGGAUUACUGAUGUGAGGUAGAGCGACUGAUUGGAUGCGAGGGCUUCACCGCCUAUCAAGUCCUGACAAACUCCGAAUGCGCAUCAGUU